rnacentral:rRNA from 1 species
GACGAACGCUGGCGGCGUGCUUAACACAUGCAAGUCGAACGAAGAGCGAUGGAAGCUUGCUUCUAUCAAUCUUAGUGGCGAACGGGUGAGUAACGCGUAAUCAACCUGCCCUUCAGAGGGGGACAACAGUUGGAAACGACUGCUAAUACCGCAUACGAUCUAAUCUCGGCAUCGAGGAUAGAUGAAAGGUGGCCUCUACAUGUAAGCUAUCACUGCAGGAGGGGAUUGCGUCUGAUUAGCUAGUUGGAGGGGUAACGGCCCACCAAGGCGAUGAUCAGUAGCCGGUCUGAGAGGAUGAACGGCCACAUUGGGACUGAGACACGGCCCAGACUCCUACGGGAGGCAGCAGUGGGAAAUCUUCCGCAAUAGACGAAAGUCUGACGGAGCAACGCCGCGUGAGGGAUGACGGCCUUCGGGUUGUAAAGCUCUGUUAAUCGGGACGAAAGGCCUUCUUGCGAAUAGUGAGAAGGAUUGACGGUACCGGAAUAGAAAGCCACGGCUAACUACGUG